rnacentral:rRNA from 1 species
UGAACGCUGGCGGCGUGCCUAAUACAUGCAAGUCGAGCGAACAGACGAGGAGCUUGCUCCUCUGACGUUAGCGGCGGACGGGUGAGUAACACGUGGAUAACCUACCUAUAAGACUGGGAUAACUUCGGGAAACCGGAGCUAAUACCGGAUAAUAUAUUGAACCGCAUGGUUCAAUAGUGAAAGACGGUUUUGCUGUCACUUAUAGAUGGAUCCGCGCCGCAUUAGCUAGUUGGUAAGGUAACGGCUUACCAAGGCAACGAUGCGUAGCCGACCUGAGAGGGUGAUCGGCCACACUGGAACUGAGACACGGUCCAGACUCCUACGGGAGGCAGCAGUAGGGAAUCUUCCGCAAUGGGCGAAAGCCUGACGGAGCAACGCCGCGUGAGUGAUGAAGGUCUUCGGAUCGUAAAACUCUGUUAUUAGGGAAGAACAAAUGUGUAAGUAACUAUGCACGUCUUGACGGUACCUAAUCAGAAAGCCACGGCGAACUACGU